CACGGGGCCAUGUGAGUCCAAACAGGAUGACAACAUGCGUUUUGCGAUACUGACGUAUGUUGGAGGAAGUCUCUAAGUGCGGAUGCAGAACCUCAGCCCUCUUCUGAAGCAGAGACGUCCAUGGGUCUAGUGUUUGGGAAACACAACUUUGGAACACUCCAGCCUCUGGGAUGAAGUCCUUGCUCCUUAGAGAAGUGUUCGAGGGCCUUGGGCUUGCAUGUGCUUAUCUCCCCAGGACAUCACCUCUUUGCACCGACAGAUGUGGAGCUUUUCGGACACCACCCAAAUUUCAUUUAUUUAUUUAUUUGUCAAAGAGAAAGAGA